rnacentral:rRNA from 1 species
AUUGAACGCUGGCGGCAGGCCUAACACAUGCAAGUCGAGCGGAGCGGCGGACGGGUGCGUAAUGCCUAGGAAUCUGCCUGUUGGUGGGGGAUAACGUCAGGAACCGGGCGCUAAUACCGCAUACUAUCGGAUGAGCAUGGGUCGGAUUGGGUAGUUGGUGGGGUAAAGGCAUACCAAGGCGAAGAUCCGUAACUGGUCUGAGAGGAUGAUCAGUCACACUGGAACUGAGACACGGCCCAGACUCCUACGGGAGGCAGCAGUGGGGAAUAUUGGGCAAUGGGCGCAAGCCUGAUCCAGCCAUGCCGCGUGUGUGAAGAAGGUCUUCGGAUUGUAAAGCACUUUAAGUUGGGAGGCGUUACCAACAGAAUAAGCACCGGCUAACUCCGUGCCAGCAGCCGCGGUAAUAC